AACGGCCGUACCAUGCUGAAUAUACCGGUUCUCGUCGAUCACCGAAGUGAAGCAUCGUGGGCGCCCGGUCAGUACUUGGGUGGGUGACCACCUGGGAGCACCGCGUGCCGUU